AUUGAACGCUGGCGGCAUGCCUAACACAUGCAAGUCGAACGGCAGCACAGCCCGCAAGGGUGGGUGGCGAGUGGCGGACGGGUGAGGAAUACAUAGGAAUCUACCCUGUCGUGGGGGAUAACGUAGGGAAACUUACGCUAAUACCGCAUACGACCGAGAGGUGAAAGCGGCGGACCGCAAGGCGUCGCGCGGCUGGAUGAGCCUAUGUCCGAUUAGCUAGUUGGCGGGGUAAGAGCCCACCAAGGCGACGAUCGGUAGCUGGUCUGAGAGGAUGAUCAGCCACACUGGAACUGAGAAGCGGUCCAGAGUCCUACGGGAGGCAGCAGUGGGGACUAUUGGACAAUGGGCGCAAGCCUGAUCCAGCAAUGCCGCGUGGGUGAAGAAGGCCUUCGGGUUGUAAAGCCCUUUUGUACGGGAAGAAAUCCUGUCGGUUAAUACCCGGCGGGGAUGACGGUACCGUAAGAAUAAGCACCGGCUAACUUCGUGCCAGCCGCCGCGGUAACAC
rnacentral:rRNA from 1 species